GCAUGCCCCGCUGCUUGGGCUGCUCGAUGAUCUCCACAUAGGGGCCAGAGGCCUGCGCCCGGCUCUGCAGGGGACAUGCGGGCCAGGCCCAUCAGCCGGCUGACCCCAUCGCUCCUGACCCUGGGAGCUCCUCCCGACCCACUGAGAAAGGAUGGUCCACUUACCUGCAGGGAAGAUGAGGGGAAGAGGUCUGAAAGGAGAGGGAGACAAGGGUCAGCAGGAGCCCACAUCCUGUCCUCAUCAGGGAAGGCCCGCUUCCCUGAGGUGAGAGGGAGCCAGGCUCCUUCUCUGGGACAGUCAGGGCCUGCUACCUGGAACCUUCAGGGAAACUAGGGGCGUGGGUAAUGGAGCCAGAAGCACCCUUUCCUGAGGGAAACCAGGGAUGGCCGCCUCCCUCCACCAGGGAAACUGAGUCACGGCCUUUUCUGUUUUAAGUUACACUAAGGGAGGCACCCCACUAUCCCUAGAGGAAACUGAGUCAGAUACAUUCUCCUCUAACAAGGAAACUAAGUUGAACUGCCCAAGCCCCCACCCCGGGUCCUGGGGAAACUGAGUCAACGCUCCCUCCAACAACCCACACCCAGGGGAAACUGAGUCAGACCCCCGAUGCCCGCCCCGCCCCGCGCCACCAUCCGGCCGGCCGCUCCUGCGCAGCGCCCAUCGGCGUACGAAGGGUCAGAAGGGAGAGGGCCUCCCGCCGCGGUCCCCGCGGCCCCAGCGCCGCCAUCCCGCGGGGUCAGGGGCGCCCUCACCGUCCAUGGCCGGGGUCCCGGGGCGGGGCCGGGGUCGCAGCUGGGCCCGCGGCGCGCGCUACUGUCGAGCCAUUCGCCAGAGGCGGAAAUGCGCCGCGCGCGCCCGCCGCCGCGUCACUGCCGGGAAUCCGACCGCGCCUGCGCAAUGCGUCUCCGUCGCCCUCGUCUGCGCCGCGGUGCCGCCGCCACUGGGAGAGAUUCAGGGGCGAACGCGCGCCGCGCGGAGGACAGACAGGCCGCGUGCAGGGUGGACAGCCUGCUUGCGCCGCCGCUGCCGGCGACCCGGAGCUAGUGCGCGCCACGCCGGGCACCGACAGGCAGCUCGCCGGGAGGCCGCUCCGGGGCUGGCGGGGCAGCUCGGCUCGCUCCCGAGUCUGGGCCCCGCCUGGAGGGCGGGGCCUGCGAUUACUCACUAUGUUUUAGGGAUUUCGGGGCCUCCUCCCGCCGAUCGGAGGAGUUUGGUGAUGUCACCCCGAGCCGGUCUGGAGCCAAGCUAGGCUGCCGGGCUUUGACCGCCCGCCCCGCGCAGGAAAGGCUCCGGCCUGCUUCGCCCGCAAAGGCCAGGUGGCUCAACUCUUCACGGUUUCCUAGUCAAUAAAAGUGCUUCUUGAUGCUUAUUGCCGCAUAAGCACUUUUAAUUUCCAGUCCACCCCAGUCUGGAUGCAACGAGGAAAAGAGAAGCGGCCUGGACCUCCCCACCUGGCAGUACUCGGAUCGUGGCCUCGCGGAGCCUGCUGCACGUUAGCGUGAUCAGAGGCUCCGCGCCGCGUCCGCUCGCGCAGUACCCGCAGGCUCGUCGGUUUAAGAUCAUCCACACUGCCGACCCUCGGGGCAGUGGGUGGACAGGGUAGUCACCCAGGGUAAAUCUCUGGAGCUCGUCUCUGCAGCCUGACACCUCUGUUCCGUUUGAACUCCUUACCCGCCCCUCCUCCCAGGGCUUCCUGCUGGGGUCCAAGAGUUUCUCAAAGCAUUUCCACUAAUUAACUGUCUCUGUGACUCCUCGCCGAGGGUAUCGUCCCCAAGGUUUAACCCCAUACAAGCACGUACGAGCGGGUUGGGGGUCGGGCUGGAGCACACACCGCCCCGGGAGGAUUUUUCAUCCCACAGUGAGGAUGCUCCAAGGCUGGCGGCAGUCUUCCCCAGAUGCAGGAAGGCUUUUAUUUUCUCUAAGUUCGUUCUAAAUUAGGGAAUCGUGUGGAAUUGGAAAAGAUUGAAAUUCUGACUUGCUUUCCCAGGCUCAAAAAAACAGGAAGAGAAAAGUGAAAACAGUUAACCACCCUCCCACUCAUUUCGGUUUCAUGUGGCUGCCCCGGAUUAGAAAAGGCACCUUACUCUUUCUGAGGAGGCAGUCGUCAGGAAGAAAGAGUGGAUUAAUUAUAAUCUUCGAUUAAUGACACAAUCAUCAUUGAGGCUAGCAUGGUCCUCCUUUUAAAAUUUAGAUAUGUAUACCUUUCAGAUUAAUACGAGUUCCACUGCACCCACUGCAAAACUCAAGAGGCUGGAUGGAAAAGCUUCAGAACUUAUAUCUACCCACCUGCUCCUCACCUGUUCAUCUUCUCCUUAUCCCAGUGUCUAGGUGCCAUCAUCCACAAUUCUGUAUUUGUUGUUCCUUUGAUUUUUCUAAAUAAAAUUUAAAGAAAAAAAUUAUAUAUACAUGAUGUUUGUUUUGCUUAGUUUUGAACUGUAAGAGAGAUGGUAU
rnacentral:lncRNA from 1 species